GAAGAAUUUGUCUUAUUGAAGACCCAAAAAUAAUAUAAGUCGAAUUCAUGCAAAAGAUUUUUAGUGAUGGCUAUAAUUUAUCACUAAUCUAUAAUUAAUUAAAAAAAAUUAGCUUAAUUUAACCACGAAUUUUAGUCCAUUAUUCAAGUGUUAGCAAUGGAUUCAAGUGUUAGCAAUGGAUCCAUCACUUCACUUAUCAAUGUCAUUAGUGAUGGAAUUUGGAUUCGUCGCUAAAUUUUUUUUUAAAUGUAUAUGUAGAUCCAUCGCAAGAUCUUGAACCUUUCACUGGGGGAUCAGGAGCCUACGCGCGGUAGUGCACCAGCGAUCAUAAGAGGGUAGGAGAUCAGGCCAAUCAGAAGAAGGGCAACAAGUGAAGUGUUGUAGCCACAAAGACAAGACUUGCUCCUGCUCCUCUUCUUGCUCCAUCAUUCCUAUGAGCUCUUCCAGUACUUUCUCUAGCUCUGCCUUUUCGCUCGUGCUAAGUACAGGUACAUCGGUGCCAGUACUAGCUUUGCAUAACAAUGGCAACCAAGCCACUAGCAUCUUCUUCCUUAUUUGCCUUUGUUGUUGUUGUUUUCCUUCUUCUAUUUCUUCUAGUCCCCAAUCUUUGGCUUGCUUGAACAGAAAUGCUGAUACCUUGACCAAAGAACUCUGUAGCCGCGGCUCAGCCGAGAGAGCGAACCAAGCCAAGUUGGUGGCAGAGGCCCACCUCCAAACAGCUUCCUCUCCGCAACCGCAAGCAGCCAACUUCUGAGACAACCACAGCAGCUCAGCCGCCAACUUUUCAGACCAUUUCACUCCCUCUCUUGGCCUCCCACCCAAGGCCCCUAGUGUUCCUUCUUUGACAGACCUAACCGCCCUGAAAACCCGGUUCAACUGGUACCGAACUUGCCCAUACCCUAACCCAACACGGCCAUUCACCACCGGGUCAUAACCGAGUUCCAUCAUAGUGCCUUCAAGCUGGCUAAGAGUCCUUUCAAAAGCCGCCGACAAACUUGUACGGUUGGCUAAACGCAAAACCUCAACAUCCCCACUCUGGUUCUCCUCUAUAAGCUUCUCAGCUAAAGAUCGAACGAGUUCAUACUUGCGAGAACUAACAGGGAUAUCGUUAAUGAGGGACAAGAUCUGCAGAAGUGCUCGAGCAAUACCCGAAUCGCCAUCAUAAGUGAGGGCGUGGUUUUCAGUCUUGGGGGAUAUAAGGAGGUGAUUAUGAUCACGAAUAAGAUCAAAAGAAGGCAAGAAAGAAUGAAGUAAACUUAAGAAUAUGAGAAAACAGGUAAUGAAGAAAGAGCGAACAAAUUCAAGAAGCUUGUACUUUUCUCCAAGAUUAACGAGAGAUUCAUGGGCACGGAUGAGGGCAGGCGUGACCAGGUUUCUGAGAAUCAAAAGGGCUAAGGCGGUGGGGGUAGUUUCAAUCACGCCCAUCGGUGGAGGUAGAAGGACUGGGUGGUGGACAGUGCAAUUUAUAAGAACAGGGUGGACGGAGAAUUGCCAAUUUGUACGAUAAAACUAUAACUAUAGAGCAGAAGUUUCAACUGAUUUUCUUUCCCUAAUGGAAAGAGGGGAUCGGUG
rnacentral:misc_RNA from 1 species